UCGGGAAUAUUGCGCAAUGGAGGAAACUCUGACGCAGUGACGCCGCGUGCAGGAAGAAGGUUUUCGGAUUGUAAACUGCUUUAGACAGGGAAGAAAAAGGACAGUACCUGUAGAAUAAGCUCCGGCUAACUACGUGCC
rnacentral:rRNA from 1 species